UCUCGCGCCGACCCCUGCCGAGGAGAGGAGAGGAGAGGCGGCGAUUCCCUUUUGGAUCUCUGAUAGGGGUUAGGGGUUAGGGUUAGCUCCUAGGUACCUGGGGUUAGGGCUGAGGUUUAGCUCCUACCUACUGCCGGGGUCGACCAGCGACAGCAGCGUUCGCAGAAGGCGCUGCAGGAGUGCUGGGCACCUGCCGCCCGGCCGCCGCGGCCGCUCCUUCUCCUUCGGCCCCUGCACCUCCUCCGAGGGCGCGUGGGACGGCGACCUUCACCUCGAGUCCUACUUCGACCCAAAGUAUUGCGUACUCCUCGACUCCGCCGUCGUGGACCGCGCGCGGCUCCUCGACCUCUCCUACCUGCUGUCGCCCACGCUGAGGCUCCUCCGGUUCCAGCGGAAGGCCCUGAAGUUCUUCCUCGUACAGGCGACCAUGGCGUUCGAGCGGCUCCCGACCGGCCUCUUAUAUCAGUAGUUGAUGCUGGGGUUCGGGUCGCUGUGUCUCCUUCUCAUGGAUUGGCGACUCCUGUACCUUCGUGCGAAGCGAGUAGCACUGGGGUGAAGCGAAGUGGAUCUUGUUGAAUUUGUGAAACGAUUGGAACGGAACCGCGUAAUGUUACGGUCUUUCUGGCUCCAUAAAUAACGCACGCGUCGUAUAAUUAGACGAUAUAUUGAGAUAACGAACUACGUGAUUACCCUAGAAGGAUUAUGUUAAUAGUUGAUAGUCGUGUUCAAGCUGUAAAGAGUUCGGAACUGCAGGUUGACGAAAAGGCUCCGUACACCUUGUUGUAUACGGGUACAAUUGAAGUGGCGGUUUGGGGUCUUCUCACUACUGGGAUGUUUCUCCGAGAAGAAGCGACUCGAGUACGAGUAAGGUUUCGAGGUCGACGUCCUUCUACGGCUCGGAUACGCACACGACGUACAGAGCUAAUAGCUACUACGAGGAACAAAACCGCCAACGGUACUCUAUAUAGCCUUAUAGUUGGUAUCCUACUCCCCGCGGUACCUAAUACUCGCAACAGUACGUACAGUGCUGUAAGACUUUGUAGGUUUUCCUCUAUACAAGUAGCCUCCCGUACUAUCGUGCUCCUACGGGAUGUAGAGACGUUGUAUCCUACACUUAACCAUGAUCAACCUCCAACUUUAGUGGUAGUGCUCACUACUGUAUUUACGGUAUUUAAAAACAGUAUAUACAACACUUGUGUAACUUUUAGUCGAGUACACACUACAAACGUAGGAAUCUUAAAUCUCAAUUUUAAUAACGAUACACUACACUACUGUAUUUAAUAACCGUACACUACAAACGUACAAAUGAGUAGUCUAUAAUAAACUUAAAGUACACACUACCUCACUUAUUAAACAGUACACAGUAGAUACGAACGGAUGUCAAAUCCCGCAACAAUUACGAUCAAACUUUAGUUUUAUACGAAGUUUGAUCUUUGAUGUGAACGACAAGAACCGCCCCGUAUUAGGAGUGGUUACUCGGAAACAGAUUACAAAGACGAGACCUUGUUUAUUAUAACCAGUAGUACGGACGGAUCGGACAAGUUGUCGUGAUAUAGAACAAAAUACAUUAACUACAAAUCGAGGUUAAGGGU
rnacentral:rRNA from 1 species